CGGGUGAGUAACGCGUGGGCAACCUGCCUCAUACAGGGGGAUAACAGUUAGAAAUGACUGCUAAUACCGCAUAAGACCACGGUGCUGCAUGGUACAGUGGUAAAAACUCCGGUGGUAUGAGAUGGGCCCGCGUCUGAUUAGCUAGUUGGUGAGGUAACGGCUCACCAAGGCAACGAUCAGUAGCCGACCUGAGAGGGUGACCGGCCACAUUGGGACUGAGACACGGCCCAAACUCCUACGGAAGGCAGCAG
rnacentral:rRNA from 1 species